AGCUCCAAGAGCAUAUACUAAUACUGUUGCAGUUAAAAGGCUCGUAGUCUAGUUACUGAUAGAUCGUAUGAAUCUUGUGUCUAGUACAAAAAGUACUCAAAUUAUCUAUCAAUUUUCUGGUAAAUUAUACUGCUCUUGGUUGAGUUUUGUAUAGUGAACCUGAACACUUACUGUGAGUAAAUCAAUGUGUUCCAAGCAAGCUUGUGUGUGAAUUCUACAGCAUGGAAUAAUUCUAUAGGACUUUGUUUCUAUUUUUGGCUUAUGGAAUUAAAGUAAUGACCGGAAGGGAUAGUUGGGGGUGCUAGUAUUUAUCGGCAAGCAGUGAAAUGCAUAGACCCGAUAAAGACUAACAAAUGCGAAAGCAUUCGCCAAGGAUAUUUUCUUUGAUCAAGAACGAAAG
rnacentral:rRNA from 1 species